CUUUUCCCACGUGAAGUUCGGCUGCUGUGAAAGAGGAAGAGGAGGCCGCUAUUUGGGAGAGAGAGCAGCUACCCUCCAUGCGAGGGUAAAUGGGAAGAUCAUUACGUGAAUUGAUCUGAAUUCAACACUGGCUUUGAGGGAUUGGGAGAGAGUGAGAUCUGCGAGGGAUCGAGAGAGUGUGCCCCUUUGGAUGCCGUUUUCGGCUAAAAACGGGUAUCGGGUAUUACCAGGUUAAAAAGCAAACGGGUAUCGGUUAUAACCGGUUCCCUUUUUACUCCUCAAA